GGCUUUAUUUUAGUGUAUUGUGUGUCCUUCCAGGAAUUAAAAACUCCCAAAACAGGGUCAGGCACAGAUAGGGGGGAAGUGACUGCUGCAACAUGGCAGUUUUAUGAAGACAUGCACGAGGUGUUGGGUGCCAGGCCCUCAGUUGACCCUCCUGUGGUGGUGGCAUCAUUUUUGAUGAGCGUACGCCAAUCCUCAUAGAGAUUGUUGAGCCCUCAUCCCCAUCCUGCAGCUCUGCAGCCAGCAGUUCCCCACUGCCAAGUCCCUCCCCAGGAAAGAAAAG